UACGUAGGGGGCAAGCGUUGUCCGGAAUCAUUGGGCGUAAAGCGCGUGUAGGCGGCCCGAUAAGUCCGCUGUGAAAGUCCAGGGCUCAACCCUGGGAUGCCGGUGGAUACUGUCGGGCUCGAGUCCGGAAGAGGAGUGUGGAAUUCCUGGUGUAGCGGUGAAAUGCGCAGAUAUCAGGAGGAACACCAAUGGCGAAGGCAGCACUCUGGGACGUGACUGACGCUGAGACGCGAAAGCGUGGGGAGCAAUCAGG
rnacentral:rRNA from 1 species